UACGUAGGGUCCGAGCGUUGUCCGGAAUUACUGGGCGUAAAGAGCUCGUAGGUGGUUUGUCGCGUUGUCCGUGAAAACUCACAGCUCAACUGUGGGCGUGCGGGCGAUACUGGCAGACUGGAGUACUGCAGGGGAGACUGGAAUUCCUGGUGUAGCGGUGGAAUGCGCAGAUAUCAGGAGGAACACCGGUGGCGAAGGCGGGUCUCUGGGCAGUAACUGACGCUGAGGAGCGAAAGCGUGGGGAGCGAACAGG
rnacentral:rRNA from 1 species